ensembl:lncRNA
AGAGGGACCCAGGCCAGAGAUCAGGAACAGAGGCUCCAGGCAGAUUGGCGGCAGCAGCAAAAACAUCACAGCAGUAGAGGGAUGGACGAGGACCAGACAAGAAGCUCAGAUGAACAGCCAGACUGACAAUCAAGAUCUUCAGGUCAGGGCGGGGCUGGACUUCUGGAACAUACUGAGAUGAGGCUAGGCGAGCCCUGGGUCUGCAGGAUCGGCACCCACACCCCGAAUGUCAGCUUCCAUCCUCGUCCUCUGUUUCAUUUGCUCCCCACUAGGAUUUGGCACAGUCCUGUUCUACCAGUUCCUGCCUGUGUGAGCUGUGCCAAGGGGAAGCAAGGGGAGGGUUUGUGCUGUGCGUUCUUGUUAAAGGGAGGUAGGCCUUGCGGGCAGGGAACCUAAGGGAGGUGACACUUAGGGGAUAAACAGAGCCCACGGGGUCAGCUCUUCUCUACAGUUAGGAGGGUCCCUUUCGCAUCAGUGUGGGAGGUUCUGGGCUUUCCUAAGGAGUGGAUACCCACCACCACGCCCACCACCCACGGAGGCCUGGGCACCACUGUGUCAGGGGCUCUGUGUGCACGGCCUUGCUUCGUCCUAGAGAUGAUUCUGCAAGUAGGCAUUGUCCCCACAGCUGCACAGCUGGGCAGUGGCAGAGCCAGGAGUGGGUCUCUCUGGCUCCCAAACCUGCAGCCACCCCUGAAGGACAUUGCUUCCCUGUGACAAGGUGGUGUCAAGACCUGUAAGGGGCAUGUGAGCACCUUCCUCUACAAAUGAGUGGUGUUCUGAGCCCUCUUCGUCCGUGUGGGCAGCGCUGCCAGGCUGUUUCUAGGAAGGGACUUUUGUGUCUAUGCUAAGAUGCAUAAGCGUGGGAGCAAAAAGACCCACUGCACUGGGCUAUCUGUCACUGACACAGCACAGGAUGCUCAGAGCAUCUUCCCGUUCCAGCGGCGUGAGCUCCAUGAUGCUCCCAGGCCUCAUGAGAGACUGUCCAACUGCUUGCUUUGUCCUUGAGAGUCCUUCUCUGCGUCCGAGUUCUUUAGGGCUUUGGUUUCUAAGUGAGGCUGCCACAGCCUGGAAAUCCCUCUCUGGAUUUCAUCGACUGGGAAAACAGUGACUGAAGGACAUCAUGCAGAUCCUAAUGACAUCAUCUGUGGAAGAUCCAUGGAGCCCCCAAAGCUUCCUGGCCUGGACCAGGCCCACAGUGGGCACUCUCCCUUGUGGCUGCAUGUUGGGUAACCUGGGUAGUGCUCAUAGCUGUUGGUUCCCUGGGGUCCCACCGCAGUUCUGACUUAGUUGGUCUGGAGUGGGGCUUGGGCUUCCAGGUUUUUAAAAGCUCCCUGAGGUGGUUCUAAAAUGCAGCCAAGACUGAGAACCAUUUGUGUAGCAGCUCUGUGGAUAUAAGAGAGCUCACGCACAGGCACUGUGUGCAUGGAGAAAUCUGCUUUGUUUUUUAGGUCUAACAGCAGCUUCUCAUCAAGUUCAAGUCUUUAUCAUUAAAAUGCUUGAUUCUAAUAAACAGAAUUCUCCACUUGCUACUUCUGGUGAUGGGGCAGCCUG